CCUACGGGAGGCAGCAGUAGGGAAUCUUGCGCAAUGGGCGAAAGCCUGACGCAGCGACGCCGCGUGAGGGAUGAAUGCCUUCGGGUUGUAAACCUCUUUCAGCAGGGACGAAGCCUCACGGUGACGGUACCUGCAGAAGAAGCCCCGGCCAACUACGUGCCAGCAGCCGCGGUAAUACGUAGGGGGCGAGCGUUGUCCGGAUUUAUUGGGCGUAAAGCGCGCGUAGGCGGCUGCCCACGUCGGGUGUGAAAGCUCAGGGCUUAACCCUGGGAUGCCAUUCGAUACGGGGUAGCUAGAGGCAGCUAGGGGAAAGUGGAAUUCCUGGUGUAGCGGUGAAAUGCGCAGAUAUCAGGAGGAACACCGGUGGCGAAGGCGGCUUUCUGGGGCUGUCCUGACGCUGAGGCGCGAAAGCUGGGGGAGCGAACAGGAUUAGAUACCCU
rnacentral:rRNA from 1 species